rnacentral:piRNA from 1 species
GUGACCUGAAACAGUGUAGGUGAUGCUGAGU